rnacentral:rRNA from 1 species
ACUCAAAGGAAUUGACGGGGGCCCGCACAAGCAGCGGAGCAUGUGGCUUAAUUCGAUGCAACGCGAAGAACCUUACCUGGGUUUGACAUGCAAGGAAAUCUCAUAGAGAUAUGGGGUCCGCAAGGGCUUUGCACAGGUGGUGCAUGGCUGUCGUCAGCUCGUGUCGUGAGAUGUUGGGUUAAGUCCCGCAACGAGCGCAACCCUCGUUCUAUGUUGCCAGCACAUAAUGGUGGGGACUCAUAGGAGACUGCCGGGGUCAACUCGGAGGAAGGUGGGGAUGACGUCAAGUCAUCAUGCCCCUUAUAUCCAGGGCUGCACACAUGCUACAAUGGCCGGUACAAAGGGCUGCGAUACCGCAAGGUGGAGCGAAUCCCAUAAAGCCGGUCUCAGUUCGGAUUGGGGUCUGCAACUCGACCCCAUGAAGUCGGAGUUGCUAGUAAUCGCAGAUCAGCAACGCUGCGGUGAAUACGUUCCCGGGCCUUGUACACACCGCCCGU